rnacentral:lncRNA from 1 species
UUGUUGAUUUUUUAUGCUAAGAAAAAUAAGCUUAUUUAAGUGGGCAUACAAAAUAUCUUGGCAUUUGUGGCAUGAACAAGAUGUCGGCCCAAGUUCUCUCUCUAAACACUUACUAGUUUGUGACCUUGGAAGAGUUAUCUAAUCCCUCUGUGUUUAGUUUCCUCUUUUCUAAGAUGGUGGUAGCAACACUUGGUCUCUCUGAUGUUCAUAAGGCAUGAAGGGUUAUUGAAGUAUUAGAUAA